GGCUGUUCCUUUUGGAGACUCAAGGGGACAGCCUCCUUUCUUGUCUUUCCUGGUUCUAGAGAUGGCCCACAUUCCUUGGCUUCUGGUCUCAUCAUUUGGACCUCUGAUUCUGUCACUAGAUAACGGCCCCUCAGUCUGACCCUCCUGCCUCCCUCAUAUGAGGGGUCUAGUGGUUCCAGGACCCACCUGGAGGACCCAGGAUCGCUUCCCCAUCUCCAGAGCCUAUCUUAACCACAUCUGCACAGUCCCUUUUGCCACAGAAGGUAACAUCUUCAGAGGUCCCAGAGAUCUGUGGACAUCACUGGCAGCUGACAGCGGGGAGUGGGGCAUUUUUCUGCUUAUCACACACCAGCUACUCCCAGGGGCUCUCAGGAAAACCCCUCUGUGCUGGUAAGUUCUCCUUUACAGCUGACUUCCUCUGACACCCCAUAAAGCCCCAAGAAUGGACAUGGCUCUUCAAAGUUGGGGGCAGGACAGGAAUUCCCCAGAGCUCAGCUCACUGCCACCUGAGGUCUAGGUAGGACUUUAGUGAGACCAUCUUGAAGAUGUGGA
rnacentral:lncRNA from 1 species